rnacentral:rRNA from 1 species
UACGUAGGUGGCAAGCGUUGUUCGGAAUUAUUGGGCGUAAAGGGCGCGUAGGCGGUUUGUUAAGUCGGCUGUGAAAGCCCGGGGCUCAACCCCGGGAGGCGGAUGGAUACUGUCAGGCUCGAGUCCGGAAGAGGCAAGUGGAAUUCCCGGUGUAGCGGUGAAAUGCGCAGAUAUCGGGAGGAACACCAAUGGCGAAGGCAGCUUGCUGGGACGGUACUGACGCUGAGACGCGAAAGCGUGGGGAGCAACAGG